UGCAAGUCGAGCGGUAGAGAGAAGCUUGCUUCUCUUGAGAGCGGCGGACGGGUGAGUAAUGCCUAGGAAUCUGCCUGGUAGUGGGGGAUAACGUUCGGAAACGAACGCUAAUACCGCAUACGUCCUACGGGAGAAAGCAGGGGACCUUCGGGCCUUGCGCUAUCAGAUGAGCCUAGGUCGGAUUAGCUAGUUGGUGAGGUAAUGGCUCACCAAGGCGACGAUCCGUAACUGGUCUGAGAGGAUGAUCAGUCACACUGGAACUGAGACACGGUCCAGACUCCUACGGGAGGCAGCAGUGGGGAAUAUUGGACAAUGGGCGAAAGCCUGAUCCAGCCAUGCCGCGUGUGUGAAGAAGGUCUUCGGAUUGUAAAGCACUUUAAGUUGGGAGGAAGGGCAGUUACCUAAUACGUGAUUGUUUUGACGUUACCGACAGAAUAAGCACCGGCUAACUCUGUGCCAGCAGCCGCGGUAAUACAGAGGGUGCAAGCGUUAAUCGGAAUUACUGGGCGUAAAGCGCGCGUAGGUGGUUUGUUAAGUUGGAUGUGAAAUCCCCGGGCUCAACCUGGGAACUGCAUUCAAAACUGACUGACUAGAGUAUGGUAGAGGGUGGUGGAAUUUCCUGUGUAGCGGUGAAAUGCGUAGAUAUAGGAAGGAACACCAGUGGCGAAGGCGACCACCUGGACUAAUACUGACACUGAGGUGCGAAAGCGUGGGGAGCAAACAGGAUUAGAUACCCUGGUAGUCCACGCCGUAAACGAUGUCAACUAGCCGUUGGAAGCCUUGAGCUUUUAGUGGCGCAGCUAACGCAUUAAGUUGACCGCCUGGGGAGUACGGCCGCAAGGUUAAAACUCAAU
rnacentral:rRNA from 1 species